rnacentral:rRNA from 1 species
GUCCUUAGUACGAGAGGACCGGGAUGGACAUACCUCUGGUGAACCAGUUGUUCUGCCAAGGGCAUAGCUGGGUAGCCACGUAUGGACGGGAUAAGCGCUGAAAGCAUCUAAGUGCGAAGCCCCCCACAAGAAUAGAUUUCCUCCUUUAAGGUAAGACCCGUGGGAGACUACCACGUGAUAGGUCAGAGGUGUAAGUGCAGUAAUGUAUUAAGCUGACUGAUACUAAUAGGUCGAGCACUUGACCA